rnacentral:rRNA from 1 species
UGGGGGAUAUUGCACAAUGGAGGGAACUCUGAUGCAGCGACGCCGCGUGAGGGAAGACGGUCUUCGGAUUGUAAACCUCUGUCUUUAGGGACGAAAAAAUGACGGUACCUAAGGAGGAAGCCACGGCUAACUACGUGCCAGCAGCCGCGGUAAUACGUAGGUGGCAAGCGUUGUCCGGAAUUACUGGGUGUAAAGGGAGCGUAGGCGGGGAGACAAGUUGAAUGUUUAAACUAUCGGCUCAACUGAUAGUCGCGUUCAAAACUAUCACUCUUGAGUGCAGUAGAGGUAGGCGGAAUUCCUAGUGUAGCGGUGAAAUGCGUAGAUAUUAGGAGGAACACCAGUGGCGAAGGCGGCCUACUGGGCUGUAACUGACGCUGAGGCUCGAAAGCGUGGGUAGCAAACA